rnacentral:rRNA from 1 species
UACAGAGGUGGCAAGCGUUGUUCGGAAUUACUGGGCGUAAAGGGCGCGUAGGCGGUCUGGUAAGUCCCGUGUGAAAUCCCUCGGCUCAACUGAGGAAUGGCACGGGAAACUGCUUGGCUUGAGUUCGGGAGAGGGAAGCGGAAUUCCGGGUGUAGCGGUGAAAUGCGUAGAUAUCCGGAGGAACACCGGUGGCGAAGGCGGCUUCCUGGACCGACACUGACGCUGAGGAGCGAAAGCCAGGGGAGCAAACGGG